rnacentral:rRNA from 1 species
UACGAAGGGGGCGAGCGUUGUUCGGAUUUACUGGGCGUAAAGGGCGCGCAGGCGGCGCAUUUUGUCAGGCGUGAAAGCCCCGGGCUUAACCUGGGAACUGCGUUUGAUACGGAUGGGCUAGAGUUCGGGAGAGGAGAGUGGAAUUCCCAGUGUAGAGGUGAAAUUCGUAGAUAUUGGGAAGAACACCGGUGGCGAAGGCGGCAUCCUGGACCAACACUGACACUGAAAAGCGAAAGCCAGGGGAGCAAACGGG